rnacentral:tRNA from 1 species
AAUUGAUUAGUCCAUUUAAGACAUUUAUUUUGAAAAUAAAAAAUGAUUUAUAAUUUAAUCAUCAAUUU